UCCUGAGAUUUUCAGAUACUGAUAGAAGGG
rnacentral:piRNA from 1 species